rnacentral:rRNA from 1 species
GCGAGAAUCUUCCGCAAUGGACGAAAGUCUGACGGAGCGACGCCGCGUGAUGGAUGAAGUCCCUCUGGGACGUAAACAUCUUUUAUGAGGGAGAAAGUUUAUUGAUAGUACCUCACGAAUAAGGGGUUGCUAAACUCGUGCCAGCAGCAGCGGUAAUACGAGUGCCCCGAGCGUUAUCCGGAAUCAUUGGGCGUAAAGGGUGUGUAGGUGGCAUUGUUAGUCACACGUUAAACCCUGGGGCUUAACCCCAGAUCUGCGUGUGAUACGGCAAAGCUAGAGGAUGGCAGGGAUGUAUGGAACUCAUGGAGUAGGGGUGAAAUCCGUUGAUAUCAUGGGGAACACCGAAAGCGAAGGCAGUACAUUGGGCCACUCCUGACACUGAAACACGAAAGCGUGGGUAGCGAAUGGGAUUAGAUACCCCAGUAGUCCCUGAGCGGGCUGGCAAGGCGCAU